rnacentral:rRNA from 1 species
GACGAACGCUGGCGGCGUGCUUAACACAUGCAAGUCGAACGAAGUGGCGAACGGGUGAGUAACGCGUAAUCAACCUGCCCUUCAGAGGGGGACAACAGUUGGAAACGACUGCUAAUACCGCAUACUUAAGGCGGGGAUUUCUUCGGAUUAGCUAGUUGGAGGGGUAAAGGCCCACCAAGGCGAUGAUCAGUAGCCGGCCUGAGAGGGUGAUCGGCCACAUUGGGACUGAGACACGGCCCAGACUCCUACGGGAGGCAGCAGUGGGGAAUCUUCCGCAAUGGACGAAAGUCUGACGGAGCAACGCCGCGUGAGUGAUGACGGCCUUCGGGUUGUAAAGCUCUGUUAAUCGGGACGCGGUACCGGAAUAGAAAGCCACGGCUAACUACGUGCCAGCCGCCGCGGUAAUUC